rnacentral:ncRNA from 1 species
UUUCAACAAGCAAAUAGCGAUCGUAUAACCUCACGAAACAGGGUGGGGGUUUCUACGGGAAGCCUUAACUUCCUAACUACGAAUAGCGGAUCAUUCACA